ensembl:lncRNA
UGCUCGGGAGGCGGAGCUCCGAGCGCGACCGGGAGGGCUACGCGGCGGCCGCAGCCAUGGGCUCUGGGCCUGCGGGGGCGCGGUGGGGGUGCGAGGACCUGCGGGGCCGGGCGGGAGAGACGGCUGCCGGGACCCGCCCUAGACACUGAGCCGCGGUGGGAUCCCCGCUGGCUCUGCGAGGCCCUGCGAGCGCCAGGGAGGCGCCUCGACGGAGCGGGGCAGCCCCCGGCCACUUCAGGGGGGCCCGCUUCGCCGCCCGGGCGGUCGAGAGGGCCUUGGGGGCACAUCUCGGGGUGCGGUGACCCGCCUGGCGCAUUUCGGGGGUCGGGGCGCGUUUGCCAGGGGACAUCUGGAGCCCGGCCCUGCUUCUGUCGGGCUCCAGGGUACCCCUGGAUGGCUGCGCUGUGCCCUCGCCGGCCGCCCGGGCGCCGCAGCGGCUGAGUUCGCCGGGAUCGCCGGGCCGCCGCCGCCCUUGCCACCCGCUGCAUGCUCGGCGCCCGGGUCGCGGCCCACCUGGACGCACUGGGCCCCCUGGUCCCCUACGUGCCGCCGCCGCUGCUGCCCUCUAUGUUCUACGUGGGCCUGUUCUUCGUCAAUGUGCUGAUCCUGUACUACGCCUUCCUCAUGGAGUACAUCGUUCUCAACGUGGGCCUCGUCUUCCUGCCCGAGGACAUGGACCAGGCGCUCGUGGACCUCGGCGUGCUCUCCGACCCCGGCUCGGGCCUUUACGAUGCUGACUCGGAGCUCGACGUCUUUGAUGGGUACUUGGAGUAGGGUCUCGACUGCCGUUCCCCUCUUCCCUCCACGAUCCGCAACCCACUCCCUGGACCAGCCGCCCAGAUCAUACCGCCGCAGCUGGUUGGGGGCACCAUCUGGACGGGGAUGGUUCCCCAGGAGGAGACCCUCCCCUGCCUCCGAGGCCUGCCUGCUCCCCUCAAAAGCUUCGUGCCAACAGAGAGGUUCCUGUUUGGACCCAGGAGAGUGGAAGAGAGAUUGGGACUGACUGCUGAGGUUGGGAAGGCACCUGCUCCCAGAGAAGGGGGAACGCAAGGGGCGUCCCAAGACCUCAUCUGCCUGCAGCGUCACACCGAUGGCCUGGCCUUGGCUUCUGAUUAUUUGCAACUGCGAUGGAUGUUUACAGGAACCCAGCCAGAGUUUGCCUCCCUGCACUUCAUCCCGGAGCGCACCUGCUUCCCCCACUUCACCUUCAGAGAGGACACUUCAAACUGCGGACACACACAAAAGCGACUCCCAGCUCCGUUUGAUGUUACUCAUUCUUCAGCAAGUUGGCAAAACAGACAUCAUGCUGGUGAGGAGACUGAGGUGUGGGAGAGUACAGGCGGCAGAACUCUCGCGGGAGACAGUUGUAGCACCACUUGCCCUCAUGUGAUGCUAAAGAAAGAAAAGCUACGAAAUCUGAAAAGAAGACAUUUGAGAGGCCCAAGGAAAAAGGUGAGCGUGAGGAGGGAGACAUUUGCAUGCAGAGAGAGGCCUGAGAGGAAGAGUGACCAUUUGGAAGGUGCGCGGACUUACAGUCCACUGGACGUGGAAUUGCACCAUCAUGCCCUGAUUCCUCCAAGCAGCGCUUUACUACCUGACAAAUGGGGUUCAGGGGCACUUCCAGCACACUGUGCCUUUGCCUGCAGAGAGGUCCUCCAAAGAAGUCAGAAGUCCAUUCCUUUGUAGGAGUGUGACUAUAAGUAUUGCUUAGAUCUGUGACACGGGGUCAGUAAUUUAUCCACAUCUUAUGAUGACUGUGCAUUAACUACAAAAAGGUGCCCCUCUGGGUUAAAAGGCUCCACACCAGGACUCCCAGCUUGGCAAGCAGAACCCAGACUGGUUUGCAGCCCCCAUGUUCCCCCUUGUCCAGGUGCCUUUGUGCAGUGUACAGACUGGCCAACCUCACCUGGCAGCCCUGUCCAGAGUUUUUUUAAUUUGCUAAAAUAUAAGACUCACCAGGGCAGGAACAUCUUAUUCAUGACUGUGCACUCAGUACGUAUUUGUAGAAUGAAUGAAACAGGUGAGGAUUAUUUGUUCAUUUUAUGUUAUUGAGCACCUAUUAUACACAGGCGCCUUGCUGGGUGCAGAGGGCACAACAGUGUACAAAGCAAGAUGUUUCCCGCCCUCCUGGAGCUCAUGUCCUAGGACAAGAGCAGACUGCAUAAAUAAGUGAAAAAGAUAAACUAGUGAUGGGGUUGCAGAGUGGGGCAAGUCCUGAAGGAUGAGAAAUCGGCCAUAUGGAGAGCUGGGAGGAACAUUCCAGCCAGAGGCAAGAAUGAAACACAGAUAUAUGUAAUAAUGACAGCCAAGAUGUUAUUGAGCCUAAUUCUCAACCUAUUAGCUCACCACACCUUCACAUAAUCCUAUAAAAAAGGUGCUGUGGUUAUGCUCAUUUUACAAAUGAGGAGACUGAGGCACAGAGAACUAGCUUGCAUAAGUAAGUGGUAAGGAGGGCGUUGAGCCCAGGCAACAUUGUUCUAGACUCUCUGCCAUUCGCCCCUAGACUCUUAUCCCUCUUGGGUAGGAGUUUAGCACAGUGUCUGGCACACAGUUGUCACUUAUUGAGCUAAUACUUUCUGAGCACUUUGAAUUUCCCUUGCACUGUGAUAAGGGCUUUGCAUGUAUCAGCUCAUUAAAUAAACAGUAGUGGCUGGGUGCGGUGGCUCACACCUGUAAUCCCAGCACUUUGGGAGGCCAAGGCAGGCAGAUUACCUGAGGUCAGGAGUUUGAGAUCAGCCUGGCCAACAUGGUGAAAUUCCAGCUCUACUAAAAAUACAAAAAUUAGCCAGGCGUGGUGGUGCAUGCCUGUAAUCCCAGCUACUUGGAAGGCUGAGGUGGGAGAAUCUCUUGAACCCAGGAGGCAGAGGUUGCAGUGAGCCGAGAUCACGCCACCGCACUCCAGUGUGGGCAACAAGAGUGAAAACUCUGUCUCAAAAAAAUAAAAUAAAAUAAUAAUAAAC